rnacentral:rRNA from 1 species
GACGAACGCUGGCGGCGCGCUUAACACAUGCAAGUCGAGCGAAGCGGCGGACGGGUGAGUAACACGUGAGUAACCUGCCUUAGACAUUGGGAUAGCCUCGGGAAACCGGGAUUAAUACCAAAUGGUCUAAGAUGGACUCGCGUCCCAUUAGCUAGUUGGUGGGUAACGGCCCACCAAGGCGACGAUGGGUAGCCGGCCUGAGAGACUGAACGGACACAUGUGAACUGGGAAACAGUCCAAACUCUACGGGAGGCAGCAGUGGGGGAUAUUGCACAAUGGAGGGAACGCUGAUGCAGCGACGACGCGAGAACGAAGUAGGCUUUCGAGUCGUAAAGUUCUUUUAUAUGGGAAGCGGUACCAUAAGAAAAAGCCCCGGCUAACUACGUGCCAGCCGCCGCGGUAAUAC